UCACUUCAAUCUUCUGCACAUUUUAUUAUUAUAUUAUUAUAGAUAUCUAGGUGCAAUGCUACCAAAUCCUCUAAUAUUCAUGACGGUUUGCUUAAAAACAGAUGAAAAAGACAUCAAUACUCUGUCGAUCUCUGAAGUUUCAACGUCAUUAAACCAGAUAUUGUAACUCUAAUUAUAUAAUGGGUUAUUGUAACUCUAAUUGGGCACAUGUGCAGUGCACGUUGUGCCCUUCCUAGUGUACAUCUCGGCUGAAAAGCAUUGUCGGGUGUCCAAAUGGAUAGAUAAACUUCCAAGCCUGGCAUCCACAGUGGACCAAGCAGGAAUGCUUACUUGAGGUGAUGAAAUUUACAGCUUAAACUAUCAUAAUUGUCAAGUGACAUCUGAUUUGUUGUAGAAGCAGAGUUUCUAUUCUUAACAGAAAUUUCCUCAAUUUCAGCAAUAGGUAAAGGUUGGCCACCUGCUUUCAAAUAUUUUGUUGUGAAAUUGUGAACAUGAUGACCAUCUUCUUUUAGAAAUUACAGGGGAACUUUUCUUUCAUAAUAAAAAAUCACACAGGAAUUCUCUAACGAGUAAACAUAAGCAAAUAGAGUUGCAUAUAUAUGCUAUGGCCAGUAUUUAAAAUAGUGUACUUAAAAUAGAGGAGCAACACUAUAUACAAGUCUCAAAGGUUUAUGAACAAUAAAAAAAAAAAAAAAAAUCCGACUAACGUCUACAAGCACUCCAUACUAUAAUUAAAUUAAGUACAAUCUUAACGUGAAUACCUUUUCAAAAAUCAAUACUCUAUUUUAAUUAACGAGUUUUCUUUAAAAAAAAAAAAAGCAGAGAAGAACUGCUAAAAGAAGAGAGCG